rnacentral:rRNA from 1 species
GACGAACGCUGGCGGCGUGCUUAACACAUGCAAGUCGAACGGAAAGGCCCUGCUUGCAGGGUACUCGAGUGGCGAACGGGUGAGUAACACGUGGGUGAUCUGCCCUGCACUUCGGGAUAAGCCUGGGAAACUGGGUCUAAUACCGGAUAGGAGCCAGUUUUAGUGUGAUGGUUGGAAAGUUUUUUCGGUGUAGGAUGAGCUCGCGGCCUAUCAGCUUGUUGGUGGGGUAAUGGCCUACCAAGGCGGCGACGGGUAGCCGGCCUGAGAGGGUGGACGGCCACAUUGGGACUGAGAUACGGCCCAGACUCCUACGGGAGGCAGCAGUGGGGAAUAUUGCACAAUGGGCGCAAGCCUGAUGCAGCGACGCCGCGUGGGGGAUGACGGCCUUCGGGUUGUAAACUCCUUUCGCUAGGGACGAAGCUUUUGUGACGGUACCUAGAUAAGAAGCACCGGCUAACUACGUG